rnacentral:lncRNA from 1 species
CAAAGAACAGGAAACCGGGAAGGACACACUGCAGUAGGAAAACCAGGACUGAAUCAAACACAGAAACAUUUUGCAAGCAGAGAAAACUAUGCACCUUAUAAUCAGCAUGAUUUUAUCAGAUGACAAAAAAAGAAUACUUAAAAUUCAUGCUAAAAAUAAGGCGAAGGAGCUUUUAUUCAGUCGAGGACCCAGGGUGUUGCGGAUGUGUUCUAAUCACAUGAUUUCCGUUCGCGCGUUUUGGGAAUUCCCUGUAUCGUGUUUGCGCAUGAACCUUAUUGUGGAAAGCGUGAAGUUCAACUUUACUCAAGGAGUUUUAGUUGGGAAUGUAGAGACAACAUAUAUAGGGUGUCAAUUCCAAAUAUAUAGUGGGCACCGAGUCUGCCUCAUAUGCAUAAAUGAAUAGGUAAGAGGAUCACAGUUGACUCCAAUUUGAAUGCCGAUUAUUUGUUAAAAUCACGUCCUCCCUACGUAACAUAUAAGUUGUCAAUAUAAAAAAGAUCUAUCAUGCUGAUGCUGUCAGGCUUAGAGAAGGCUAUGUUUGAAUCAGAGUUGUUUUUACAAGGUGACUUUGCUAUUUAUAUUGGUCAGUAGCCUGCGCUUCGACACUAACUUUAUUUAUACAACACCUUUGAAAAAUUUUACGUUCAAAAAAAUAGAAAUUAUCACGAAACUUAAUAAUUUAUUCAAAGCAUAUAUAUUUUUAUAUAUAUAUAUAUUAUUACGAAUCUUCG